rnacentral:lncRNA from 1 species
AUUGCGAAUUUUCUGGAGAAUGAUAAUUCGCAUACGCGCCCACUCACGUACAAAUUACAACCAUCAUGUGGCCACACGGAGUCAAUCUGCACGCUCAAAAAAAAAUAAAAGACAAUACUGCGCAUCCUUAGCAGUAAAGCAAGCCACCCAAAGGCA